rnacentral:rRNA from 1 species
UGGUGAAUUUAGGACAAUGGGGGAAACCCUGAUCCAGCAAUCCCGCGUGUGCGAUGAAGGCCUUCGGGUUGUAAAGCACUUUUGGCAGGAAAGAAACGUCAUGGGUUAAUACCCCGUGAAACUGACGGUAACUGCAGAAUAAGCACCGGCGAACUACGUGCCAGCAGCCGCGGUAAUACGUAGGGUGCAAGCGUUAAUCGGAAUUACUGGGCGUAAAGCGUGCGCAGGCGGUUCGGAAAGAAAGAUGUGAAAUCCCAGAGCUCAACUUUGGAACUGCAUUUUUAACUACCGCGCUAGAGUGUGUCACAGCGAGGUGGAAUUCCGCGUGUAGCAGUGAAAUGCGUAGCUAUGCGGAGGAACACCGAUGGCGAAGUCAGCCUCCUGGGAUAACACUGACGCUCAUGCACGAAAGCGUGGUGAGCAAACAGG